CCAAUAGCGUAUAUUAAAGUUGUUGCAGUUAAAAAGCUCGUAGUUGAAUUUCGGGAUCAGUACGCUGGUCGUGCCUUCGGUAUGUACUGGUGUCACAGAUUCCUCCCUUCUGACGAACCGUCAUGCUAUUAAUUUAGUGUGGCGGGGAAUCAGGACUGUUACUUUGAAAAAAUGAGAGUGUUUAAAGCAGGCUCACGCUUGAAUACAUUAGCAUGGAAUAAUUAAAUAGGACGUUGAUCUUAUUUUGUUGGUUUCUAGGAUUGACGUAAUGAUUAAUAGGGAUAGUUGGGGGCAUUAGUAUUCAAUUGUCAGAGGUGAAAUUCUUGGAUUUAUUGAAGACUAACUACUGCGAAAGCAUUUGCCAAGGAUGUUUUCAUUAAUCAAGAACGAAAGUUAGGGGAUCGAAGACGAUCAGAUACCGUCGUAGUCUUAACCAUAAACUAUGCCGACUAGGGAUCGGAUGAUGUUAAUUUUUUAAUGACUCAUUCGGCGCCUUACG
rnacentral:rRNA from 1 species